rnacentral:misc_RNA from 1 species
AAGUCGUAACAAGGUUUCCGUAGGUGAACCUGCGGAAGGAUCAUUACUAGUUGUGUGCUGUAAAGCGCCACUGUGAUUCAAUCGCUGCUCUCUUAAUGGGAGCGGACGACCGAUUCUCGCUGGAAGUCGUUGCCCGACUACCCGGUGGGAUGGCAACCCUGCUUGCUGUGUUGCAGCGAGUUACGGUAGCAAAAUGUCUCUUUUUAACUUUUGAGUGUUGCAGACGCUGGGCAACGGCGUCACUGUCUGCUGGCACGAAUGGGUAGCUGCUUAGUCAGUGUGCCCGACAGUGUCGUAAAAGCAGGCAGAGUUCUCACUUCAUUUCAUGAUGUUAUGUUGCUUACGUUAAGUCAACCGAGCCCAUUUAGCUCAGUUAACAAAAUGAUAACUGCAAGCGGUGGAUCACUCGGCUC